AAUCCCUGUGUAUGGCGGGGCUGGGACAAAGCCUCUCCUAUCUACAGAUGGUCCCAGAAAGGGCAGCGGGAGCCUGAGUGGGGCUGAGCUGCCCCAUUUCCAGGGCCUGCAGCCUCUUGUGACCACAUCUGUGGCCAUGGAGCCACCCCCUCCCCAGGCCCCUGAUUCCCCAACCUUGGCUGAAACUUCACCUGGACGCUUGGCUCGAGGACAGUCAGCAUCUUCUGGAAGUGGUUUCACUUCAUCAGCUUGUACCUUGGCUUGGUACCCCAGAUCUGACAGAGCUAGUCCCACAAAUCUGGGCCCAUUCUAGGACUGCAGAAGGAUGCCAGAAGAGGGUUAUGAUCCCAGCCUGCUUCCCUGACAGGUUCCCGUCCAACGCACCACAGACAGAAGGUCAAUAAAUAUUUGUUGAACUAACCCAGUCAGCUCUGAAUCCUCUGCUCUGAGUGCAGCCUGGGCUGGAUGGCGUUGCCUGAAUGCAAAUGCCAGGCACCCUCUUAUCUGGGUGGCCCCUGGGCCUGCAGUAUGCUGCCAGGAAGCUGGCGGCCUAUUCAGCCUGUGACCUGAGCACCCGAGUGGAGUCCAGCUGGGGCCGGCCUGGACUUUGAUGCUGAGGACCCGACACCCCUACCCGCUCCUCACUACACUGGGGCCGGGACGGCUGCUGCCCUCCCUGGCCGAACAGACUCUGUCUCUUCAGAACGCUCAUCACUUUUCUGAACCUUGGUAUCCUUAUCAUUCACCUUCCAGGGGGGACGGAAGAUCCAGUGACAUCCCUGGAUAUGAAGGGGUCUGGGGUGAAAUUGUAUCCACAUAUAAGGGGUUAGGAAGCCUCGCUGGUGUUCUAACUGGAGGAAGGGAGUAGGGUGGGAGGCAUGCUGGGGGCAGCAGAAGCCAGCAGCAACAGCCUAGUGGCGAGGUCCCAUUGCGCAGAUGGGAAUGCCAAGUCAGGCUGAAAGCUGGCUCCAGGCCACAGCUUAUCCGAGGCCGGGACUAGUGACAGAUGGACAGACACCCUCUUCACUCCGUGUUUGACAGAGGUUCAACCCAGGCUUGUUUCCUCCUAUUUCUCCAUCUUCAAGAGGAGCACCACUUUUCAGCCAUAGGCCCUGGGCCUGAAGAACAUCUCUGAAACACUGGGGAACUCAGCAGGACAAACAGAAAAUGGGACAGAGGGUGGCAAGAGGAGGUGGAGGGAGGGGCGGGGCAGGGCGGGGGCAGGGCCAGCAGGAGCUGAGGGUAGGCCUGGGGCUAAGGCCAGUUCAGAAACUCCUGGUUGGGCCAGGACCCCAUGGUUUCUCCUGCCUCAUCUUAACACACCCCUGCCUUAUGCCUACUUUGGGAGAGCAGCUCAUUCCUCCGGCCAGCAAGCGUUGCUGAAUACUUCUGAGGCAAGCACUGAGAAGCCCGGGCUGUGGAAAUUACUCUGAAAUAAGAGCUCCUAACAAGACCUCACAGAGAUGGGACCAAGAGAGUGAAGGAGUUAGGUGUGUCAGAAAAUACCAUUCUCCGGAGCUGGCACAUGAACAGGGCUUUUUAAAGGAUGGAUAGAACUAACUAGAAAGGGCUGGAAAGGGCAUUUCAGGUCAGAGGUCCAGGCACCAAUGUAGAAGGAUGUAGCUAGAACAGAGGGGCUGAGAGAAGGUAGUGCCUUUGAGCCAGGAAAGGCCCCAUAACAGUUCAGCUGUAGUGUUAGCUAGGGGGACCACCUCAGGAAUGUGAGGUCCUGUCUUGUAAGAUAUAGUGGCCACAAUGUGGGGCUCUUUAUCCCACAGCCAGGAAACAAGUCCAGACACUAAGGAGUCUAACGUGGUGGGCAGCACCUUUCAUGAAUACGCCAAAUCACCAACUCUUAAAAAGGACUGUUUCAUGUGUAGUGGCCCGAGGCCUGCAUGUUCUAGAACCAUGGCUCCAGGUGCCAAUAAUGGGUCCACUGUGUUAUCAACAGAAAUCGCCUGACCCCUUGCCAUUCUGGGUAUUUCAUCUGACUGAAAAGCAGGCACAAAACUGGGUUAUGGGGUUGGCAAGUGUGCCACUUGGGAUUCCCAGUUAGAAACAGAAACCAACCCUGGUGAAUUUAAGCAAAACAGUUUUAUUGGAAAGCUAUGGGGAAGCUUGGGGAACAGUUGGAGAGGCCGGGGAAUCAGAAACUGGCGGGAAAAGGGGAACUUGGUGUCCAAGGACAUAGCCACGUCUUACACAGGACUGUUGGGUCUCUGGUAUUGGCAACAUAGUCCCCCACUGUGGUCGCCACCAAUGUGGCAUGAGAGGAAAUGCUUCAUGACCCUGAUGCCUCUGACUUCCUCCCCCUCCAGACCUAAGGUAUUAGGCACAAGGGUCUGAUGUGCUUAACUGAGGUCCCAGGCCCAAGCCCAGGCAACUCGGAGCCUGGGGCCCAGGGUCUCAGGCCUUAGGGUUGUCCCUCCUCAGGAGCGCCUCACCUCCAGCAGGAGCCACUGUGGCGACAGGCCUCUCCAAGACCAGCAGGGGGCUGCAGGCCCUGAGAGGAGUUCCCUGCACCCCGCCCCCCAAACAACUUCCAUGGAUUUACUAAUUGUGUCUCUAAGGGAAAUAAGAGCAGCCCCAAGGGUGCCUCGCCCAUACCCCCUGGUGUGGUGCCAGUCAGGGCACAGCCAAGGUAACGUGAGGCAAACCACCACAGGCCCACCUGUCAAGAGCCCUCUAAGGUCACAGACUUCCGACUCACCGUGACAGGUGAGGUGCUGGCUGAAGGCCAAGGGGGGUCACACAAUGGCUGUGAGGGACAAAAUAACAGUAUCAGCUUUGACCACUUCAGAAAUAAAGGACUGCCAGGGCUUCCACCCAUGUCUCUGGACUUGCACUGAGAGAAUUAGCAUCAUCUCUCU